GAUGAACGCUAGCGGCAGGCUUAAUACAUGCAAGUCGAGGGGCAGCAUGAUUGUAGCAAUACAAUUGAUGGCGACCGGCAAACGGGUGCGGAACACGUACACAACCUUCCAACAAGUGGGGGAUAGCCCAGAGAAAUUUGGAUUAAUACCCCGUAACAUAGCGAUGUGGCAUCACAUUGCUAUUAUAGAUUUUUCGCUUGUUGAUGGGUGUGCGGCUGAUUAGAUAGUUGGCGGGGUAACGGCCCACCAAGUCUACGAUCAGUAGCUGAUGUGAGAGCCUGAUCAGCCACACGGGAACUGAGACACGGGCCCGACUCCUACGGGAGGCAGCAGUAAGGAAUAUUGGACAAUGGACGCAAGUCUGAUCCAGCCACGCCGCGUGAAGGAUUAAGGUCCUCUGGAUUGUAAACUUCUUUUAUCUGGGAAGAAAUCCAUUUUUUCUAAAGUGGUUGACGGUACCAGAUGAAUAAGCACCGGCUAACUCCGUGCCAGCCGCCGCGGUAAAAC
rnacentral:rRNA from 1 species